rnacentral:rRNA from 1 species
AUACAGAGGGUGCAAGCGUUAAUAGGAUUUACUGGGCGUAAAGCGCGCGUAGGUGGCUAAUUAAGUCAAAUGUGAAAUCCCCGAGCUUAACUUGGGAAUUGCAUUCGAUACUGGUUAGCUAGAGUAUGGGAGAGGAUGGUAGAAUUCCAGGUGUAGCGGUGAAAUGCGUAGAGAUCUGGAGGAAUACCGAUGGCGAAGGCAGCCAUCUGGCCUAAUACUGACACUGAGGUGCGAAAGCAUGGGGAGCAAACAGGAUUAGAUACCCUGGUAGUCCAUGCCGUAAACGAUGUCUACUAGCCGUUGGGGCCCUUGAGGCUUUAGUGGCGCAGCUAACGCGAUAAGUAGACCGCCUGGGGAGUACGGUCGCAAGACUAAAACUCAAAUGAAUUGACGGGG